rnacentral:lncRNA from 1 species
AUUUUUAACAGACAUGCUGGCAUGGCCGUUAGUUGACUAACAGUCAACAUUAACCACUGACAUAAUGGUCCAAAUGUAAUUAAAUGUUAAAAUGACACUAUUUUAUCUUAUAUACCAUGUCAGCAAAUAAUUUUAAAAUUAUUUUUAAAAAACAAUAAAAAAAAAACACUAGUCUCUUCUCCUCAACUCCGUAUUUCUUUCCUACAUUUCAAGUUUCCUACCACAUUUCAAACAAACAAAAAAAAAAACUCACCAUAUUUCUUCUUCAAUCAAAGAUUAAAAAAAAAUCCCACAAAAUAUUUUGAAAAUAAAAACCCAUAAUGGGAAAAAC